CCUGUUGUAAAAUGUACAAAAGUUCGUGGGUGAGAGUAAUUUCCAGUGUAUAACUGCAUUUGUGAUGUACCUAAAUUAAAUUUAGUUAACUUUUAACACGACUGUCAGUGAGCUGCUCGAGCAACUGCCCACCGACCAGUUCGGCACCAGGUUACGGGCGUCAACGCUACUAUAACAGCGUUGACCCGAAAAAGUAUGUGGCCAAAACUUAUGACAUGCCCUUUUCGAAGCACCCCAAGUUUCUUCUGUGGAUUUCUCUCGUCCGCCUCUACACCCAAGCCGAAUGCUGUCACAUUAAAGAGUUGCAUCUGUAAGUUUGCUGGAGUAAUAACCCUACUUCUCACUACCUUGGCUGAAAAGUGUUGUGGUUCAAACAACAACUGCACCCCGUCCUCGUGCAGAGUUCUAUGGUGUGUUAGCAGGGGAGUAUUCAUACUGUAUCAAGUGAACCCAUCGCAAUGUCUUCAGAAUGUGAAUUUGGUUUGAAAAUAAACUUUUACUAGAUGUGAAAGCAGUAUCACAUUCUCUGAACAUUUUUGUGGGUGUGAACUUCAAGAAGUAUCAAAGAUGAGUAUUGUCAAUAUGCAUGGAAGGUAUUGUGAACAGAUUAUUUUUGAUAAUUGUGAAUGCAGCUUAUCAUUUCUGUACCACCUUUGAGUUACCAGUGAGAAAGCGUUUCAAUCCUCUUCUAUCUGCCAUGUUUUCUGAUGUUGACUGUAGCAACGGUUUUGAGGGCAUAAUUUUGCCAUCGACUGGAAAUGCACUCUUGACAUGGAGCGAUUACUGUCUCUCAUUGAGAGCGAGACUGGAGUCUUCCGCAUGCUUUUGCUGUGGUACUCUGAAAAUUCUCUGUCUACCUGUGCUUCAAUGAUUUUUGCACUGGUUUAGAAAGCAUUUAGUUGCUAUCGACUGGGAUUGCAUAAUCAAAGAGCAUAUUGGUUAGUCAAUUAGCUUUGCUGGUCUUUGCUUUUCCAUGAUUGAUGUACUGGUUUAGAGCGCAUUUAAUUGCUAUCGACUGGCAAUGCACAAUCAAUGGUAAGGCAAAUCAGUUUUUGUCUUUUUUGUAUGUUGUUUGUCAGCAUUUGCUAAAGACACUCCAUUCCUGAUUAAGAAUAAUUAUCUUGAGCUCAGUAAUAUUGUUUAACUUUGGGUUACAUUUUAUACAUAGUUUUAUUCCUUCAAGAUUAUCUUUUAUCUGAUAGCUGUAUUUUAUAAUCAUUUUCUUUUUUAUUUGCCGCUGCCCUAUUCUAAACCCUCAACUCUAAAAUUUUGAUCUUGUAUUGACCAGUUGUACUUAUAGUGCCAUAUGGGAAAGUGAGUGUGUGUAAUAGACAAAAUGCUAUCUUCAGAUUGUUCAGGUUCUCUUAUCUGGAGACUGUACAAACGCUGUUGUAUCUUCAACUUCAAUUUUGUGUUUCAGAAAUGGAGUUUUUUCCAAGCAAGCAGGAGUCAAGAACAACGAAAAAGAAACUUCGAAAGAGAACACUCACAAUCUGGAUUGCAUAUAUGACCAUGGAGCUCCUAAGAUUUCAAGACUUUGUUGAAUGUCAUCUGUUAGCUGUCCAACUUUCCUCAUCACAAAUCUUAUUGUGUUCAUAUUGUUCUAUUCUCACCACCUAAGGAGGGUGCAGUUGUCACCCACCUAUCAACUCCUAUACUCUGGAAUCAUAAAUAAGGUAUUGACAGCAAAACAUGCUUUUGCAGUUUGACGAUAAUACACACCCAUUAUUGCGAGUCAAUGCUCCCAGAACAUAUGCCAUCAAGAGUGUUAUUACUCGCCUACCAACGCUAUUUCUUCCAAACUUGGACUGAUGGGAAAAGCAUGCAAACAAUUUUACGGAUUCAAAUGGAGUUAUUCCUUGGCCCUCCUGAUUUCAUUUUCAUUCAGGGGACUCACAGCGUGAUGAGAUUGUUUGAUGACCUUUCAUUUUCUGCUGGUGGUUAGUGGUUAUGAAUCACAUUAUAUAGAAGUCCUCUGAUAUCAUGUUAUGUGAUGGGAGAAAGGAGCACCUCAGCCUGGGUUUUGUCUCUUCACUCUUGAUACUUGGGGAUUGAAUUCCAAAACUACACUGUCCUGCUUUGGGGUUUGAAGGCUGCAACAUGUUUUCAACAACAUACUACCAUGCAGUCAAAAUUCAGGACAAAAGUUUGCAUUCCUCAGUUUGUCUUGAGUAACUAUACUUAAAAAACGUGUACUAGUCUGCAAUGGCAACAAAGUCAGGUUCUGAUGUAACAUACAUUUUAUUUUCUGUGCGUAGCUUCUAUUGUGAUGUGCAGACCCGUUGUGACCAUGGCAUUGGUGGGUAACUUAUUUUACUUACUACAAGGAGGUUGGCGUAGGUCCUUGUCCAAUACUCAACAGGAUGGAAAUCACUUUAUCUCUGAAGCUGCUACAGAUGGAUUCUUCUUUUCAAUUGAAUAACUCCAAUAUUCUACUGCUUUGUGGUGUGAGAAAGCAACCUUGGAUUUUGUGUUAGUGGGCUACAUGGAUACCUUUGUUUGCUCCAGACAUGUAGAGUACAGGUCAUGUAUCACAUUCCAUGGAAGUCUGAGAAUAUGUUCAAGAAAAGAUAGUGACAUACAAGAGUCACCUUCUAGGUGUGAAAAUUUAUCUUAAAAAACUUGCAUGGAUGGACUUACUUUUGUAAGAUCAAAUAUAUGUUAGCUGGAAGACAAUGAGCUCUUAAGGCUGCAAAUAUUCAUAAUUAAAUUAUUUUGGCUUGGUCAAGUAUACCAAGGAAACAUGUAUCAGCUCUGUUCAGGUUGACCCAUGCCAUAGAAUGUACUCGAUCUAUGUGGCUGCUGUGUGUAACUUUGUCGAUAGUUGAAAUGGUUUAGAAGACAUGUAUUUGCUAUCGAGUGCACCAUUGACUCUCAAUGCGGGUGUGACUGGAGUCCGUUGCAUUCCUUUUGCGAAGUCUUACUUGUUUAGAAAAGGAUAAAGAAUUUAUUCACCUACAUUGGUUUGCAAUGGGAAAUUUUGUAUUAGUUCACUUACAUAUUUAGUGACAGCACUGCUGAUUGAACUGCCUGUCUUCAGUUGAACUAUUAUUAUCAAUACUUUAAUGAAUUCGGAUUGCACCUCAUUAUAUUGAGUAUGGGUUAUGGGUGAAUGUGCAUGUGAAUGUGCUAUGUCAGUGUUCUUGGUUUGCUUUGUUUCACCAUGUGGUGUGGGGUAGUGUUAUCUCUUGGAACUAAUACGAAUUAGCAUGGACAUGAGUGCAUACUGAAUUCACAAGUUAAGUGAAAACUUAAUUUAAUUGGUGUUUUUCCGGUAUACUUCUUAAAUUGAACUUCUUCUUGGAACUAAUUUGUAAAAUUUUGAGAGUCAGAAAGAAGGACUCCACAUGUUUUUAUUUAUGCAGUUGCACCAAUCAAAUUUGUAAGCUAAAAUUAAGGCAUCUGUACAAAUAAAGUAUUUGUUUUGAAGACAUUAAAGUACAAACACAAGACAAAGGUUUGGGCAAAUUUCAAGAGCUCAAGAAAUUACAUUGUCAAAUGUCAAACCGAACACUACAAGUAUUGUUUUAUGUUCCUUUAUAACAUUUAUCAUAUGUUCAAUUUCAGCCUUCUCUGCAUUUGGUUUUUGAGAGCCUAUCAUAGAAGUAUGACAAUUCUUCCUAAUGUACCCAAACUGCUCUAGGAUUCAAUUUUUUUUUUUUUAAAUUAUUUGUUUGGCAAAGACACCUAAAGAGUGUAGCACGCUCAGCGUCAGCACAAAAUUUGGUUUUCAAUGGUGGAUUAGCUGAGAAUUCUUUUUGAGGCCUUUGCCCACACUUACUGUGACCAGUCUUGGAAGUCACAAUCAGUGGAGAGUCUGGGAAAUUAAUGUUCGAUCACAUAAAUUAUGGAAGUCUUGUUUAUUUGGAGUUUUCAUCUACACUAAAAAAACUUAAGAAAUUAUUUUGAAAAAUCAAUUUAAAAAGGUCAGUAAAAUCACCCAUAGGCAAUAAAGUCGACUCUGAAUGUUGUUGGCACCCGGAAAGGAAAACUGGCAAAGUUAAAAAUAUCUUUUCUUCGUGGGUUCAAAAAUAUAAUCCUCAAUAUUCCAUUCAUCAUUUUCUAAACAAACCGGAACAAUCUACGUUACUUUCAAACAUACAUAUGUUAACUAGGACGUGACAUGUCACUACGGCUGAGGCAUUGCUAGCUGGCGCAAUGUUUUUUUUAAAACAUUCAGUUCAAAUUUAUCAAUUAAAUUUUCAAUAACAUCUGAAUACAUUCCACAUUAGAAUGGAAGUGGGCUGCCGCCCCAUCGAGCCCCUCUUUUAUUUUAUAUUUUCUUUACCAAAGUAUUUGAAUGCAAUGGGGCUGCCGGCCCCCAUGACAGCCCAAGUCCAUGGACUACUAUACUACUAAUGUGUAUCGUAAUUCUCCUGGCUUGAAAUUAUUAGUAUACUUACAGGAGCUGUUCUCAAGACCACCUAGAACACUUCAGGAUGCAAUGUAAAGUUUGGUCAUUAGGAAUACAACAAUAAAUAAUAAUACUUUCUCAAA